rnacentral:ribozyme from 2 species
AUCCUAACUCUGCCAUCGCCGGUCCCAAGCCCGGGUGAGAAAAGAGGAGGGGGAU